GCCACUCUAGGAUUUUCAAAAAAUCGCUUUUUUUUUUUUGCUUUAAAUAGUUCCUUAGGGUCUCAGAAAUAACAUAUUGCAGGAUUAUGGCUCGGAAAGAUCUCUAAAUAAUUUAUUUUCGAAGUUCCUUGCAAGGCUGCACGGUACGCGGCGAGCUCAUUUUGUAAGUUCUACGGGGGGUAAUAUUUGAAGGAUCUACAGCAGGUAUACGGCAGAUGUUUUCAAAGGCGCUAGUUACUUGCUAGACUAUAGUGGUCAAUUAUAUGGUGCAGGCAUUGCAGAUUAAAGGAGCAGUUAGUUCGGCCACGUACCCCUUGAACCAUAGAGGAGUCGAAGGACGACCGCUACAGCGCCACCAUUCUUCAAGAAAUAUUUAUAAGAAAUUAUUUUUUUACACCUAAAAAGAUGUAUAAUAAACUUCUUAUAUUAUAUUUUUAA